GCAUGAUGAUUGAUUGAUUAUUUAACUACGUUGGAUAGCAAUGAAUUUUCAUUUAACAUAAUUAAGUUAUUGGAGAUGGUGAGUUUGAUGAUUUAUGGUUUUGACAACUAUUGUAACACUCCCUUACCCGAUAUACAGUGUAGCCGAGCAAAGGAAUGUCACAUCCUGUGCCAAAGUACUUAAUCUUAUCCUAUUUAAUUGAUGAUCAAUUUAAUUUCAUCAUAAUUUGGUCAAGAAAAUUUUUCAAUGGAAAAUUGCAAGAGUUUUCCCAUAUUUUUAACAUUUCACUUGUUAAAGAAUUGACCAGUUACGAUUAUCCAUAUUGGAAAAUCUUAAAUUCAUAACAAGUUUAAAAUCAUAACUCAUAUUUCUUUAUCUAUUCACAUCCAUUUCUAUAUAUAAAUUUCCUUCAUUUACAAAAUGUACACAUUUAUUAUACUUCCCAAAAUUUAAUGACAUCUUUGUGUUUAAUUACAAUGCACAUGGUCAUGCACUACUGUGAGCCAGUGAUAUCUACCAGAAUGUUAUGCGGAGGUGACAAUGACCACUACUGCAGAUCAGUCCAAAAUCUCUGUCCAAGUCUACUAGGUCUUAUAGCCUGGACCUGCGCAAGGAAAAACUAUCGCGCUAAGCAUUUCUGCUU
rnacentral:misc_RNA from 1 species